rnacentral:rRNA from 18 species
CUCGUACUCCCCGAAAUGCUUUUAGGAGCAGCGUGGGGGUUUAGUUUAUUAGAGGUAGAGCUACCAAUUGGACUAGGGGGAGUCAAAUCCUACCAAAUCCAGAUGAACUCCGAAUGCUGAUAAAUAUACCAUACAGUGAGGGUUGGGGUGCUAAGGUCCCAAUCCGAGAGGGAAAGAACCCAGACCUACAGCUAAGGUCCCAAAAUCUACACUAAGUUGAACUAAGGAGGUCCAGUUGCUUAGACAGCCAGGAUGUUGGCUUGGAAGCAGCCAUUCAUUUAAAGAGUGCGUAACAGCUCACUGGUCGAGUGACAGAGCAUCGAUAAUAAUCGGGCAUCAAGUGUAGUACCGAAGCUUAGGAUGUAUUUAUACAUGGUAGGGGAGCAUUCUCUAGGCGGCGAAGGUUUGCUGUGAGGCAUGCUGGAGCGUAGAGAAGCGCAAAUGUAGGCAUAAGUAACGAUAAUGCGGGUGAGAAACCCGCACACCGAUAGACUAAGGUUUCCCCGGCAAUGCUAAUCAGCCGGGGGUUAGUCGGGACCUAAGGCGAACCCGAACGGGGUAGUCGAUGGACAACAGGUUAAUAUUCCUGUACUGGCAUAUUCAGUGAUGGGGUGACGGAGUAGUGAAAGCGCUGCGGACUGACGGAAUAGUCCGUUGAAGGGUGUAGGUAUUAAGACAGUAGGUAAAUCCGCUGACUUAGCUGAACCUGAUAGUACCACAAUCCUUCGGGAGCGUGGAUAAUGCGCCUAAUCAGACUUCCAAGAAAAACCUCUAAACUUAUGGAUAUGGCACCCGUACCGUAAACCGACACAGGUAGUCAAGGAGAGAAUCCUGAGGUGCUCGAGUGAAUCAUGGCUAAGGAACUAGGCAAAAUUGCCCUGUAACUUCGGGAGAAGGGGCCCCC